rnacentral:lncRNA from 1 species
GAUUUUCAGAGUGGAAACUAGGAAAGGGGAUAACGAAAUGUAAAUAAAGAAAAUAUCUAGUAGAAUAUAUAUAAAUAUGUAAAUAUUUAUAUAUAUAAAGAUUCACACUGUUUUCUUCCACUUGAUAUUCUGCCUUGUCGGAUUGGAUAAACGAUGCUAAGAUAACUACAGUUGUUCCUUUUAUGUCAUGCUUUUGAUCUGGUUUCGGCCUGCUCAUGCAGAUUUUCUUAAGAACCUACUGUUUUGUGGGGGAGAAAAGCACACAUUUUAUAAAAGUCCCUUGGUUUCUAUGCCAUGAUCUUGGCUUUUUCAUGUGAUUUUAAAAAUUCUCUCUGAUGCCUAUAUGAAUGCCAGUAUUUGAACAACCCACUUUUCAGCUUUAGAGUUGGAUUCGCUUUUGUGUCCUGAAUUAGUUACUCUCUUCCAGAUGUUUCUUUCGGAUGUACCUAAAACUUCUCUUCAGUCGCACUCCUCUCUUCCUACCUGACCUGUAGCUGUCCUUAAGACUUCCUUUUUAAAGGCACCAUGCCCUUCCAGCCUGUGAGACGGAGGUACUCCUCAUCUGACUUCCCGUUGCUCUCCAUCCCCCCUGGAAGCCCAGCUGUCCGUCACUGGCUAGCCCAGACUCAUGCUCAUUACUGCAAAGCGACUUCUCCCACCUCUCUCGCGGUAUUCAUUAAUAUCUCUCUAUUAAACCCAGACUUGGGAACUCCAAGCCACCUCUGUGCUAUCACAGUGGUCACCUCCUCUUGCUCUAGUCCUACUCAGAUUUCCCAGAGAUAGGUUUUUAUCAACUCCCUCUGCUCCUCUUGCAUGUUUUCUACCACUGUCAACAUAAUUGGAACUCCAUUCUAAAUGACCUGAUCCUGACUGAUUUAUGUUAUAUGUGAGCCUGACCUAAUUUAAUCUACUCGUUAAUUACUAAUGUUAAACGGACAGUCUCGUGCAUCUAUUUUUCAAAGCAGGGUACUCAGUGCCAGGCAUGUGAUGGCACAUGCUAAUCCCUGCUCUCCUGGUGCUUGCCUUCUGUUGGUGGGUAGGAGGGAGAGGCAGAUAGGAACAAACAGGCAAUUUUAGUUUGUGAUAAAGGCUAUGUUGUUGUAUAUGGAGGAGGUAUGGAGAAGUGCUUAAUUGCCUGGGGACUCAUGGAAACUUCUGGAUCACUUAUAUUUGAGUGGAGACACUAAGGCAGCUGGAACCAUCCAGGUUGAUGAAGAGGAGCAACGGUGAACUUGCUUGGUAUCAUGUAGUAAGAAAGAGGCAUAGUCAUUAGGGUAACCAUGGCGUCCAGAUGAGAGCCCAGUAUUUAUCAGAGGAGCAUCCAUGGCUUCCCAAGGAAGGGGAUUGGCUAAUAACAGCUGCAGCUGGAGAAACUCUUGCUGUACAUACUAUUUAGGGCUUCUCUUGCUGGACUCUUCUUGGAGAGCAUUCAGGUCUUUAGGAUAGGAGGGUUUUUGUUUGUUUGUUCUUUUUUUUUCAGUUUUUCAUUGUCAAACAAAACUUGACAUGUUGAAAAGGGGAAAAAUUGUCUUUGGACUUAUUAUUAUUUUCUUCCAUUUCACUCUAGUUCUUGUUAACUUGUAGGUUCUGUCUAGUCAAGCCCAGGAAAUAAUUUGUCUUUAGGCAAUUAUAUCUGAACAUUUCCAAAAUACAUGUUGAUUAGGAUAGUCAGAUAAUGAAAUCAAUAGCAUGUCCAUGUUUGAUGGGCAGGGGUUAUACUCUGCAUGCCAGCCCAUGCUUACAUGUAGGUACCAACCUCUCCUUUUGAGGACAACGGUCAGAUCCGUGUGGCCUCUGGAAUGUGGCAAAGAUAGACCUAAAAGUCAGCACAGAGCAAAUAGCUUUAAAAAGCCUUUUGUCCAUGAGAGAGGAGGGCUGUAUUGUCAUGGACGUAGUUGGCUUCUUAAAUAAAUGCAAGUUUUAGAAAUCCCAGCUCCUUCAGGUCAGGUCAUGUCUUGAUGAAAGCCUCCUGACUCUCGGAACUUCCACACCUCACAACCUGACAGUCUUUGAUAUUACAGAUACAGGCUAAGGCUCUUCUACUUCUUCAGAUACUUUCAACUUACUGGUAGUUCAUAAUUUUCUUUUCUUCUUAGAGAAAGUUAUGCGAAUAAUUAACAAUUAGUACUCAUUGUCUUGUAUGAUAUUAUUGCAAAGGAAUGCUCAACAGACAAAUAACAGUAAUGACACAGCUUUUUCAACCCAUCAUAAAAAUAGGAGCGACGUAGCCCACGAUUUAGUAAAAACGGAAGCAUGGUAGUUAAUUACUAUAUUUGCCGGAGCAGUGUGCUUAAUUACCUUAACUGUGUUCCAGGGACAGAGGUAAAUGCCGCUUUUUAUAUGGUAUAUUGGAACAGACGCCAUCCGUGAAAUGGCAGCUCUCCAGCCAACACCAAGCACAUGGCCUGAAUACAGUGCUCUGUGAGAUUCAGAAAUAAACCACACGACUCCUGUCAUGAGGAGUCUGUGCUGUGCCUGUGUGGAAGAAGUGUCCUAGGAAAAGAAGGGUCACCCAAGAUUCUUUAAUAUGAGCACUUCAUCCCAGGGGCCUGCAGUUGAAAUUCAAUGACUUA